UGAGAACAAGCAGAAGACGACCCUGCUGGAGGAGAGGACCGCCCACCUGCGGGACCUGAUCGUCACGCAGCAGAAGGAUGCCGCCCGUCAGGCUCUGAUGGAUGCCGAGGAGAGCGAGGGUCACAAGGUGGCAGCGCUCGACUGCGUGGUGCGCAGCCGCCGGCCGUCGCCGCCAGGCUCGACGCCCACCAGCCCCGCCGGCGGCGCCGCCAAAGCCAGCAGCCGGCCGGCCAGCGCCGAGUAGUGCCGCAU